CUGCGCUGUGCCUUAGAGCUCCAGAGCUCACUCGCCUUCUAGUUGUGCAUCUAUUCCCUUUGACCGACAUCUCUCCCGUCACCAGACCCUCCAUCCCUGCGGACCCCUCUCUCUUUGCCUGCAUGAAAUAUUGCUGACCCACUCUGAGCCAGACACGGAGAAAACAAUUUCCAGAGCACUUUCCCUUCUAUUAUCUUCUUUGAUCCUGGUAUCUCCUCCAAGAAGUGUAAAAUAUCAUUUCUAUUUAAAAUGAUGAGAAAACUAAGGUCCCACAGCUGGUCACUGGCCAUAUGUGGACCUGAGCUCAGAUUUAAGCUUAAA